rnacentral:rRNA from 1 species
CACUUCUAAGGAAGGCAGCAGGCGCGCAAAUUACCCAAUCCUGAUUCAGGGAGGUAGUGACAAGAAAUAACAAUAGUUCGGCAAUAGUCAAACUAAUUGGAAUGAGUGCAAUUUAAACAUCUUGACGAGGAACAAUUGGAGGGCAAGUCUGGUGCCAGCAGCCGCGGUAAUUCCAGCUCCAAUAGCGUAUACUAAAGUUGUUGCAGUUAAAAAGCUCGUAGUUGGAUUUCUGUGGGGACGGAGCGGCCGGCCGCACAUCGCGGUUCGAGCUAGCGCUUUCCCUACAUCCUGCCGCGAACCGUGCUACCAUUAAUUUGGUGGCGCUGGGGAUCGGCUCGAUUACUUUGAGAAAAAUAGAGUGUUCAAAGCAGGCCACAUGCCUUGAAUAAGUUAGCAUGGAAUAAUAACUAAGGACUUCGGUUCUAUUUUGUUGGUGUUCGGGACUGAAGUAAUGAUUGAUAGGGACAGUUGGGGCGGUCUGUAUUCCAAAGCGAGAGGUGAAAUUCCUAGACCUUCGGAAGACAAACAGCUGCGAAAGCGUUCCGCAAGGAUGUUCCCUUUGAUCAAGAACGAAAGUUGGGGGAUCGAAGACGAUCAGAUACCGUCGUAGUCUCAACUAUAAACUAUACCAGCUAGGGAUCGGCCAACGUUAUUUUAUACCGACUUGGUCGGCACCUUAUGAGAAAUCAAAGCAUCUGGGUUCCGGGGGGAGUAUGGUCGCAAGGCUGAAACUUAAAGGAAUUGACGGAAGGGCACCACCAGCCGUGGAGCCUGUGGCUUAAUUUGACUCAACACGGGAAAACUUACCAGGUCCAGACAUAGUUAGGAUUGACAGAUUAAGAGCUCUUUCUUGAUUCUGUGGGUGGUGGUGCAUGGCCGUUCUUAGUUGGUGGAGUGAUUUGUCUGGUUAAUUCCGUUAACGAACGAGACCCCAGCCUGCUAAAUAGCGCGCGUGAGCUUUGCUCGCGGCGAGCUUCUUAGAGGGACUAUGAUGCGCGAUAGCACAUGGAAGUUUGGGGCAAUAACGGGUCUGUGAUGCCCUUAGAUGUUCUGGGCCGCACACGGGCUACACUGGCGCCUGCAACGAGCAUAUCAGCUGGCCCGAGAGGGUCUUGGCUAAUCUUUUGAACCGGCGCCGUGCUUGGGAUUGACCUUUGCAAUUGUUGGUCAUGCAACGAGGAAUGCCUUGUAAACGCGAGUCAUCAGCUCGCAUUGAAUACGUCCCUGCCCUUUGUACACACCGCCCGUCGCUCCUACCGAUGAAUGUUCCGAUGAAAUUUUCGGAGAGCACCUGUGAACUUGGCUCUGCCUUGCGAACGGGAGGCUCAAAGUCACUUAAAUCUGAACAUUUCGAGG